rnacentral:rRNA from 1 species
UACGGGGGGGGCAAGCGUUGUUCGGAAUUACUGGGCGUAAAGGCUCGUAGGCGGCCAACUAAGUCAGACGUGAAAUCCCUCGGCUUAACCGGGGAACGUGCAUCUGAUACUGGAUGGCUUGAGUUCGGGAGAGGGAUGCGGAAUUCCAGGUGUAGCGGUGAAAUGCGUAGAUAUCUGGAGGAACACCGGUGGCGAAGGCGGCAU